rnacentral:rRNA from 1 species
GCCUAACACAUGCAAGUCAACUUGACGGAAGGAGCAAUCUGACCGUAGAGUGGCGCAAGGGUGCGUAACGCGUAAGUAACUUGCCCAAGGUAAGGAAUAACGUCGAGAAAUCGGCGCUAAUACCUCAUAAUGCAGCGGAUCCGCAUGGAUAUGUUGUUAAAGGUUUACCGCCUUGGGAUAGGCUUGCGUCUGAUUAGCUAGUUGGUGUGGUAACGGCACACCAAGGCUACGAUCAGUAACUGGUCUGAGAGGAUGAUCAGUCACGCUGGAACUGAGACACGGUCCAGACUCCUACGGGAGGCAGCAGUGAGGAAUAUUGGGCAAUGCUCGAAAGAGUGACCCAGCAACGCCGCGUGGAGGAUGAAGGUAUUCUAUAUCGUAAACUCCUGUGAGAGCAGACGAAAGACAGAUUAUUAAUCUGGAUGACUGUAUGCUCAGAGGAAGCCCCGGCUAACUACGUG